rnacentral:rRNA from 1 species
AGAGUUUGAUCAUGGCUCAGAACGAACGCUGCGGCGUGGAUAAGACAUGCAAGUCGAACGCUGACAUUUAGGUAGCAAUAUUUGAAUGUCGGAGUGGCGCAAGGGUGCGUAACACGUGGGUAAUUUGCCGUGAAGUUUGGGAUAACUUGCUGAAAGGCGAGCUAAUACCGGAUGUGAAUUGUUGAAGGCAUCUUCGAUAAUUCAAAGUUGGGGACCGCAAGGCCUGACGCUUUACGAUAAGCCCGCGGCCUAUCAGCUAGUUGGUGAGGUAACGGCUCACCAAGGCUAAGACGGGUAGCUGGUCUGAGAGGACGACCAGCCUCACUGGAACUGAGACACGGUCCAGACACCUACGGGUGGCAGCAGUCGAGAAUUUUUCUCAAUGGGCGAAAGCCUGAAGGAGCGACGCCGCGUGGGGGAUGAAUGGCUUCGGCCCGUAAACCCCUGUCAUUUGUGAACAAAUUGCUUCACCUAACACGUGAAGCAUUGAUUGUAACGGAAGAGGAAGGGACGGCUAACUCUGUGCCAGCAGCCGCGGUAAUACAGAGGUCCCAAGCGUUGUUCGGAUUCACUGGGCGUAAAAGGGUGCGUAGGCGGUUUGAUAAGUCUGAUGUGAAAUCCCGCAGCUUAACUGCGGAACUGCAUUGGAAACUAUUUGACUAGAGGAAUGGAGGGGAGACUGGAAUACUUGGUGUAGCAGUGAAAUGCGUAGAUAUCAAGUGGAACACCAGUGGCGAAGGCGAGUCUCUGGACAUUUCUUGACGCUGAGGCACGAAAGCCAGGGGAGCAAACGGGAUUAGAUACCCCAGUAGUCC